GUGUCAGCAGCCGCGGUAAUACGUAGGGCGCGAGCGUUGUCCGGAAUUAUUGGGCGUAAAGAGCUCGUAGGCGGUCUGUCGCGUCGGAUGUGAAAGCCCGGGGCUUAACCCCGGGUCUGCAUUCGAUACGGGCAGACUAGAGUGUGGUAGGGGAGAUCGGAAUUCCUGGUGUAGCGGUGAAAUGCGCAGAUAUCAGGAGGAACACCGGUGGCGAAGGCGGAUCUCUGGGCCAUUACUGACGCUGAGGAGCGAAAGCGUGGGGAGCGAACAGGAUUAGAAACCCCCGUAGUCC
rnacentral:rRNA from 1 species